GGUUGUGGCUCGGUGGUAGAGUGCCCGCCUAGCACCAGGAGGCACUGGGUUCAAUCCUCAGCACCA
rnacentral:tRNA from 1 species